UACGGGGGGGGCAAGCGUUGUUCGGAAUUACUGGGCGUAAAGGGCUCGUAGGUGGCCAACUAAGUCAGACGUGAAAUCCCCAGGCUCAACCUGGGAACUGCGUCUGAUACUGGAUGGCUUGAAUUCGGGAGAGGGAUGCAGAAUUCCAGGUGUAGCGGUGAAAUGCGUAGAUAUCUGGAGGAACACCGGUGGCGAAGGCGGCAUCCUGGACCAACAUUGACGCUGAGGAGCGAAAGCUAGGGGAGCAAACGGG
rnacentral:rRNA from 1 species